AUUGAACGCUGGCGGCAGGCCUAACCCAUGCAAGUCGAACGAUUGGCGGACGUGUGAGUAAUGUCUGGGAAACUGCCUGAUGGAGGGGGAUAACUACUGGAAACGGUAGCUAAUACCGCAUACCCUCGGAUGUGCCCAGAUGGGAUUGGCUAGUAGGUGGGGUAAAGGCUCCCCUAGGCGACGAUCCCUAGCUGGUCUGAGAGGAUGACCAGCCACACUGGAACUGAGACACGGUCCAGAAUCCUACGGGAGGCAGCAGUGGGGAAUAUUGCACAAUGGGCGCAAGCGGGAUGCAGCCAUGCCGCGUGUAUGAAGAAGGCCUUCGGGUUGUAAAGUACUUUCAGCGGGGAGGCGGUACCCGCAGAAGAAGCACCGGCUAACUCCGUGCCAGCAGCCGCGGUAAUAC
rnacentral:rRNA from 1 species